UCGGAUGUGGUGCACGGUGCACAUCAGCUUCUCUUAAUCAAAUGGUGAGGAUGCAAGCCGAAGACCGGGGUUCGACUCCCCGCAUCCAAA